GAUGAACGCUGGCGGCGUGCCUAAUACAUGCAAGUCGAGCGAACGGACGAGAAGCUUGCUUCUCUGAUGUUAGCGGCGGACGGGUGAGUAACACGUGGAUAACCUACCUAUAAGACUGGGAUAACUUCGGGAAACCGGAGCUAAUACCGGAUAAUAUUUUGAACCGCAUGGUUCAAAAGUGAAAGACGGUCUUGCUGUCACUUAUAGAUGGAUCCGCGCUGCAUUAGCUAGUUGGUAAGGUAACGGCUUACCAAGGCAACGAUGCAUAGCCGACCUGAGAGGGUGCUCGCCCAACCUGAACCGGAAACCGGUCCCAAACCCCACGGGGGGGACGCGGUGGGGAAUCUUCCCCAGUGGGCGAAAGCCUGACGAGGCAACGCCGCGGGAGUGAUGAAGUUCUUCGGUUCGUAAAACUCUUUUUUUGGGGAAGAACAUAUGUGUAAGUACCUGUGCACAUCUUGACGGUACCAAAUCAGAAAGCCACGGCUACCUACGU
rnacentral:rRNA from 1 species